UUUAGCAAAUGAGAAUGCAUGUGCUUGGCUUGGUGUUAGAUAUGCUUGAGUUUGAGUGUUGAUAAUCUGUUGUUUGUGGCUAUGACUAUGAGGAUUUAAGAGUUUCAAGAGAACGAGGAUGAGAGGAAAAGCUUGAGGUUUGAAGGCCAUGGUGUUUAUAGCUUGGAAGGAAGGAAAAGUUUGGAGUUAUGUUUGGUGAGGC
rnacentral:lncRNA from 1 species